rnacentral:misc_RNA from 1 species
GCUCUAUAUAUUCUUAUACAAGGUGGUUUUGUGCAAAACAGUAACAUUAAUGUUCUGAAUCAGCUAUUUGUGGAUUGAUGAUUCAUAUUUAUUUUAUUCUGUAUGCUUUCUAUGUUAUCACAUUUUACUAGCCAUAAUGCAGAACUACACCUUGAGUAUGUUCAGUUUUCCAUCAUGUUAUGCCAUCAAAUGGUUUAGAUUAUCAAUCCAAGGACCAUUGCAGUUAUAGUCACAAAGGUUUCACCUAAUCUUAUCAUUAAUUUCUCUCUGCAAGGCCAAAAUCAUGUUUUUUAUUCGGCUUUGUUUGAGAAGGUUAUAAAACACCAUAGUUCCAUAUUGGUUAAAAGUAACUGAUUGGCCUAGUAGUUAUAAUCACAAAGGCAUAGAGCCAAGUUGCACUUUGCUUUCUUGAAAUUUUAGUGGUUAAGAGCUCUUAGCAAAUCAUGAUA